UACGAGGGGGGCAAGCGUUGUUCGGAAUUAUUGGGCGUAAAGAGCUCGUAGGCGGCUUGUCACGUCGGAUGUGAAAGCCCGAGGCUUAACCUCGGGUCUGCAUUCGAUACGGGCUAGCUAGAGUGUGGUAGGGGAGAUCGGAAUUCCUGGUGUAGCGGUGAAAUGCGCAGAUAUCAGGAGGAACACCGGUGGCGAAGGCGGAUCUCUGGGCCAUUACUGACGCUGAGGAGCGAAAGCGUGGGGAGCGAACAGG
rnacentral:rRNA from 1 species